AUUGAACGCUGGCGGCAUGCCUUACACAUGCAAGUCGAACGGUAACAGGUCUUCGGAUGCUGACGAGUGGCGAACGGGUGAGUAAUACAUCGGAACGUGCCUAGUAGUGGGGGAUAACUACUCGAAAGAGUGGCUAAUACCGCAUGAGAUCUACGGAUGAAAGCAGGGGAUCGCAAGACCUUGUGCUACUAGAGCGGCCGAUGGCAGAUUAGGUAGUUGGUGGGAUAAAAACUUACCAAGCCGACGAUCUGUAGCUGGUCUGAGAGGACGAUCAGCCACACUGGGACUGAGACACGGCCCAGACUCCUACGGGAGGCAGCAGUGGGGAAUUUUGGACAAUGGGCGCAAGCCUGAUCCAGCAAUGCCGCGUGCAGGAUGAAGGCCUUCGGGUUGUAAACUGCUUUUGUACGGAACGAAAAGCCCUGGGUUAAUACCCUGGGGUCAUGACGGUACCGUAAGAAUAAGCGCCGGCUAACUACGUGCCAGCAGCCGCCGCCGUAA
rnacentral:rRNA from 1 species